rnacentral:tRNA from 1 species
CAGAAAAUAGUUUAAAUAAAACAUUAGGUUUGGAGUCUAAAGAUUCAUUAUUUUCUGA